rnacentral:rRNA from 1 species
UACGAAGGGUGCUAGCGUUGCUCGGAAUCACUGGGCGUAAAGGGCGCGUAGGCGGCGUUUUAAGUCGGGGGUGAAAGCCUGUGGCUCAACCACAGAAUGGCCUUCGAUACUGGGACGCUUGAGUAUGGUAGAGGUUGGUGGAACUGCGAGUGUAGAGGUGAAAUUCGUAGAUAUUCGCAAGAACACCGGUGGCGAAGGCGGCCAACUGGACCAUCACUGACGCUGAGGCGCGAAAGCGUGGGGAGCAAACAGG